GCCGGGGGCGUCACUCCAGCAGGUAGAGGCCAAACAGAAGCUCCGCUUGGGCAGCCCUGGUCGGCCUCUCUUAUGAGACCCACACGGCUGCACGCUCUCCUGACUGCAGCUUUGGGCUGGAUCAGUAGCCCCAGGGCCCCCAGGCCACUUCUGAAGAGGGCGAGAAGCUCCCCGCCAGGCACCCUGAGGCACGGACUUGAAAAAAUGCAUUGAUUCAAGAUGGAAUAAACCGAGUAGGUUUCAGAACAGCCACCCUUGGCCUGGACAGUGCAAGAGCUGCAGAGUGUCACCUCACAGGGCCAGCGGCGACCCAAGACACGGGUGCCUGGAAAGGGGGCUCUCUGCGGGGACAGGGCUCAGAAAGGCUGGACCUGUCCUGAACCACAGAAACAGGGUUCCCUGAACCUCGGCCAUCGUCUACCAUUACGGCGCCCUGUCCAGAUAUAAAGUCAGAAAAUCUCAGAUGCACAAACAUUUUGAAGUAAAAGAUAGUUUCUAAACCAUUACUCAAACCAAUAAAACGUGAAGUGAAAUGAAAUGUGUAAUGUGAAUGAAAAUGCUCC
rnacentral:lncRNA from 1 species